rnacentral:rRNA from 1 species
UACGAAGGGGGCUAGCGUUGCUCGGAAUUACUGGGCGUAAAGCGCACGUAGGCGGCUUUCUAAGUCGGGGGUGAAAUCCUGGAGCUCAACUCCAGAACUGCCUUCGAUACUGGAAAGCUCGAGUCCGGGAGAGGUGAGUGGAACUGCGAGUGUAGAGGUGAAAUUCGUAGAUAUUCGGAAGAACACCAGUGGCGAAGGCGGCUCACUGGGCCCGGUACUGACGCUCAGUGUGCGAAAGCGUGGGGAGCAAACAGG